rnacentral:tRNA from 1 species
GGGGGAGUGCCGGAAUUGGGAGACGGGCGCGGCUUAAGACCGCGUGCCACAGGGCGUGGGGGUUCAAGUCCCCCCUUCCCCAC